UACGUAGGGUGCAAGCGUUGUUCGGAAUCAUUGGGCGUAAAGCGCGCGUAGGUUGUCAGCUAAGUCGGGUGUGAAAGCCCUCGGCUCAACCGGGGAAGUGCAUCCGAAACUAACUGACUAGAAGAUGGUAGAGGAAGGUGGAAUUCCUAGUGUAGAGGUGAAAUUCGUAGAUAUUAGGAGGAACACCGGUGGCGAAGGCGGAUCUCUGGGCCGUACCUGACGCUCAGGCGCGAAAGCUAGGGGAGCGAACUGG
rnacentral:rRNA from 1 species